UUAAAGCACGCUUUAUUUAUGGCCGUGCCUACCCCCAAGCCUCGGGGUUGUUUUGAGCCAGCAGGGAAGGUGUACUUAAUAUAGAGCAGGAGGUCUCCUCUCUGGAAGGGCUCUUGGCUUCCUCUCCAGACAGCAUGUGUGUGCUCCCCAACACUGAGAUCUGACGUGCCCCCAGAUUCCCUGGGCUCAGAAAACAGGACACGCCGAGGACAUAGAAGCCUGGCACCAGGCGCAGAGCUUCCGCCACCAAGGAUGUUCCAGCAGAGACCACACAGCCGCGUGGCCUGGACUCGAAGCCAUCGAAGUUUUGAAUCUCUAAGUCCUUAUUUCUUGCCAGCCCAACUAUUAAUAAAUCAAAAGCUCCUUGGAGCGUUGGUUUUUAUUUUCUUCUCCCCUAGAACAGUGUGGAAGGAAUG
rnacentral:lncRNA from 1 species